AAAUGGAGUGUAAUGCAGGCACAACGAGGUAUGCGAUAUACGGUAGCCAAGAAGUGCAGCAGUUAGCAGAUGAGGAUGCGGUCAUGGAAAGGGAUAUAUUGUUGCAACACUUGACUAGCAAACCAGUGGAAUCUGGAGGAGCAGUACAAGCUAGGUUUGGGUGCUAAGGUGGAAGCGACAAAGAAGGGAUACCCGUGCUACUAUUUUAUCAUACACAGACGAAGUGUGCAUUGCGACCCUUAGGAGAGGAUACUGCACCUAGCUUCUACCAAUGAUUAGAGGGUUGAGUGCAAGAAAUUGUAGGUGGCAUGAUGAGGAAAGGACCAAGGAUGGACUUCUAAGACAUCCUGCUGAUUCACCCGCUUGGAAGUGUUUUGAUGCCAAACAUAUGGAGGUGGACCCAAGGUCCAUGGGGAAGCCAACAACACCACCUGAAGGAGCCUGAACCCCCAACAGUUUUAUCUACUUUCUGUUGUUUUUUGGUGUGAAUUGGUUGGAGGAACUAAUCACUGUCUGUUCAGAAACGGUCCGAUGUGGGCAUUGACAGAAACAUCCUCUCUUUUUUUUCCAAACCGAGGCAAAAGAGAAAGAUCCCUCGAGCCUCUGUCAGUUCGUCAAUGUGCGAAAUUUUGAGGACGUGGACAUCAUGUGGUUCCGCGACCCGUUCGAGCGGAUGUCGGUGGCGGCGCACAUUCUGGAUGACGUCUACAUGUGUGAAUGGAGUUCACAAACUCUACAAGUCAUCAUUUUGGGUUUAUAGAUGGACUAUUAGGCCUUUAGAACAUAACCAGCUAUCAUUUUGGGUUUCUAGAUAUACUACAUGUGUCUUUUGCACUUCUGGGUAUGAUGAAGCUACCUAUGAUCGAGUGAAUGCCUUUUGUAUAAUAUAUGAUGUUCUUCAGAACACAAAAUGUUGUGAUGUGCAUUUGUGUUGAUCGGAACUUUGAGAUAUUUUGUA